rnacentral:rRNA from 1 species
CCUACGGGAGGCAGCAGUGGGGAAUAUUGCGCAAUGGGCGAAAGCCUGACGCAGCGACGCCGCGUGAGGGAUGAAGGUCUUCGGAUCGUAAACCUCUGUCAGCAGGGAAGAACGGUCACUGUGCUAAUCAGCAGUGAAUUGACGGUACCUGCAAAGGAAGCACCGGCUAACUCCGUGCCAGCAGCCGCGGUAAUACGGAGGGUGCGAGCGUUAAUCGGAAUUACUGGGCGUAAAGCGCUCGUAGGCGGUAUGUCAAGUCAAGGGUGAAAUCCCCGCGCUCAACGGGGGAACUGCCUUUGAAACUGGCAAACUGGAGUGUGUGAGAGGAUAGUGGAAUUCGAGGUGUAGGAGUGAAAUGCGUAGAUAUCUGGAGGAACAUCAGUGGCGAAGGCGACUAUCUGGCACAUAACUGACGCUGAGGAGCGAAAGCGUGGGUAGCAAACAGGAUUAGAUACCCGGGUAGUC